UACGGGGGGAGCAAGCGUUGUUCGGAUUUACUGGGCGUAAAGGGCGCGUAGGCGGCCACCGCAAGUCAAUUGUGAAAUCUCCGGGCUUAACUCGGAAAGGUCAACUGAUACUGCGGGGCUAGAGUGCGGAAGGGGCAACUGGAAUUCUCGGUGUAGCGGUGAAAUGCGUAGAUAUCGAGAGGAACACCAGUAGCGAAGGCGGCUCGCUGGGCCACACCUGACGCUGAGACGCGAAAGCUAGGGGAGCGAACAGG
rnacentral:rRNA from 1 species